AGUAGUUCGGGCCAACAGACUUUAGUUUGGAGAGUAAAUCUUCUGAUCUUCAGAUUAUCUGUGGGGAAGGCUCCUUGAAGCUGGUCUAGUAGUCUUAAGAACAUU
rnacentral:snoRNA from 1 species